rnacentral:miRNA from 3 species
UGCAACAAUAUUUCAUCAGUGG